CAAAUACUCCCUCCGUUCGGAAUUACUUGUCAUCAAAAUGGAUGUGUCUAGAACUAAAAUACAUCUAGAUACAUCCAUUUCGAUGACAAGUAUUUUCGGACGGAGGGAGUACAAG
rnacentral:pre_miRNA from 1 species